GACAGAGGGUGCAAACGUUGUUCGGAAUUACUGGGCGUAAAGCGCGUGUAGGCUGUUCGGAAAGUCGGAUGUGAAAGCCCUGGGCUUAACCCAGGAAGUGCAUUCGAAACUCCCGAACUCGAGUCCUGGAGAGGAAGGCGGAAUUCUCGGUGUAGAGGUGAAAUUCGUAGAUAUCGAGAGGAACAUCGGUGGCGAAGGCGGCCUUCUGGACCAUUUACUGACGCUGAGGCGCGAAAGCUAGGGGAGCAAACGGG
rnacentral:rRNA from 1 species